AUUGAACGCUGGCGGCAUGCCUUACACAUGCAAGUCGAACGGCAGCGGGGGCGAAGCUUGCUUUUCCUGCCGGCGAGUGGCGAACGGGUGAGUAAUACAUCGGAACGUGCCCUGUAGUGGGGGAUAACUAGUCGAAAGAUUAGCUAAUACGGAAUACGAACGGUGGGUGAAAGUGGGGGACCGCCAGGCCUCAUGCCAUAGGACACGCCGAUGUCUGAUUAGCUAGUUGGUGGGGUAAAGGCCUACCAAGGCGACGAUCAGUAGCUGGUCUGAGAGGACGAUCAGCCACACUGGGACUGAGACACGGCCCAGACUCCUACGGGAGGCAGCAGUGGGGAAUUUUGGACAAUGGGCGAAAGCCUGAUCCAGCAAUGCCGCGUGUGUGAAGAAGGCCUUCGGGUUGUAAAGCACUUUUGUCCGGAAGGAAAUGGCUCUGGUUAAUACCUGGGGUCGAUGACGGUACCGGAAGAAUAAGGACCGGCUAACUACGUGCCAGCCGCCGCGGUAA
rnacentral:rRNA from 1 species